rnacentral:lncRNA from 1 species
AUGUUUCUUGUUUCCAACAUUGUUUGCUUAAAUAUGCAAUGUUAUCGUAAUUUAGGUUCCCAUUAUUGUUUUGUAGUUUUCAACUGGCAAAUUAUAUAUUUUUUGUCCUUUUUAUGGUUGUUUGACAUGGCAAUUUUAUGAGGUCCUGGCAAAUUUUGUGUUUUUCCGGGAAAUUUAUGCAUUUUUUGUUACAAUUUUUUUACACAUUUUUUAUUUGUUUCUUUAUUCUUUGGCUUCCUGGCAAAUUUACACAUUUUUUUAUCAUUUAUGUUAAAAUUGUUUUGAGACGGCAAAUUUUAGAGUCUUGACAAAUUGAUGCAUUUUUAUGGCACAAAAUUAUGUUUUUGUUGUCCCAAGGUAUUUUUGUUUGUGGACACGACUAGGGAGCACAGGUGUGCUCCCUAGAGUUCCCUGGCAUACACCCCAUUUAAGGAAAUAUAUCUCCCCCGUCUAAAAAGAGGAACCAAAACAGGAAGUCCCAACAACUGGCCCCCGCGCACCAAUCAGAAACAGGAAAAAAUCUCUCGUGCACCAAUCAGCAACCCUCCCCGAUCACGUGCACGAAAAAGGACGUGAGUUCCCUUCUGAUUCUGAAACAGGAACGCAAAAAGGCCCCCCACGCCCCACAUGUUGUCCAUCUCACCAACCCAAUGCAUGCCUCCAUCCUCCAUUCCAAAAAAGAAAGAUCUUGACCCAGAUGAAAGUUCCAUCUCGCCCCCCAUCUCCUCUGGUGGACAUGACCAUGCACUAAUAACUGCACACAAAAAGAAGGAACUCUCAUCAAUUUCACGCUACAGGUAGCCCUGCAAUUGCACCCAACUCAGCAGUAAAAAGGGACAAUAAAAAUCCUAAGAAAAAAUGUUAUAGUUGUUUAGGAAAAACAGAAAUCCAGCAAGAAAAGAUUUGCCUACAGUGCAAAUCCUACUAAAAUGGUUAUGAGACACUUUUUGCUUGAUUUGUAUGAUACUCUUGUGUGGAUUUUUGGUUAGACAAGUUGUGUCGUGUUGUGGGCAAUUUUCACUAUGCUUGCAGGCAACUUCUAUUUUUAAAAACAAAAUUAACAGUAGACAGUGUUUUGGGUUGUUUUGGGCUUGCGGUGCAAGCAAAUUUUGUGGUUUUGUUGAGCACAAUGCUGCGCAGUGCCAUACAAGAUUGGUAUGGUGAACAAAAAGGGCUUAAAGGGUAGAAUCCAAGUGGAAAGAUAGGAUUAAAGUGGUUUUUUUGUAUGUUUUUUUCAUGGAGAUCAAAUGUUUCUUUGUUUUAAUUUGUAGUAUCAGACCCAUUAACCCUGUGUGGUUUCCGGACAAGGCAAGUAAUGUGUUCACAAUUAAAAAGUUUAUCUUUAUUGUGGAUCAUUAUUGCUUUCAUGGAACAUAUAUUCAUGGUAAAAAAUUGCAGAUUUCAAAGUAUGAUGUGGCAAGUUACUACAGGUUCCAAAGCAACUUGUGGUUCCUACAUAGGGUCAGGUGUUCAGCUGAGAACUUGAACAAAAACUUGGGAUGGGGGGCACCUUGAAUGAACCCCUAUGCAUGCUGGGUCAAUUCAGGCUGCUGCUAAUCACGAUUUUGCUCGUCCCAGCCAACUCCUAAUCUGAUACAAGAAAGACAAAAGGAAAAAAUAUGGAAAUGGGAAGAUCAGCGCCCCCAUAAUGGUAGAAUAAUGCAUCACAAAACACUUGAUGACAACAAUGUGAACCUAGGUAUGUAAACUGGCCCAUGAAUGUGAUUUGUGAAGAACACAUGGAUCUGACGAUUGUAACUACAAUAAUUUACAUGUAUAAAAGUUGCAACCUAGUACGACUUGUGUGUCUACUAAAAUAUCAAGUAUACCAAGUUUUGGAGCAUUGAGUGGCAAGUUUUUUAGCAAACUCCAGGCAAACUACUCGCCAAACAAUUGGGAAAGUCGAAAAUUAAAACAGAGGCACCUACUAAUCAAAGUUUAGACAAGUUGUGGGAAGAAAAUUGAAAACCACACUCUCAGGAAAAAUGAUCUGGCAAACUUUGUUGUAGAUCUGGCAACUCGUCGCCUCUGCACUGGCAACUUGUCCCCGACCCUCAACCCAUCCCCUCAACCUGGCAUCCAUGUGCAUCACUUGCUAAGCUAGGUUCUCCUAUGAGAAGACACCAGGGGGAGUCCCGCUCUUUUCCACCGCAUAAUUAUCCAUGACCCAUGCAUGGACGAGGUCAACAAAAGCCCUAGCCCGGCUGCAUCGCUGGCUUGUCACGUUCGUCGAUCGUCACCGCGAGUAGACCACAAAACUUGACCAUAGAACAUUCCGCCCCCAGCGUGCAGAUUCGUCAAUUCAACACCACUACCAAUCGAUUCAACACCAACACCAUAGGUUUCCCCUCGCAGCCCUCCCCAAAUCUCCAACAAAUUCCACCAUGUUCUAUAUGGGGCAACUUUGGUGCUAAAGGAAGCAACUUUGUAGUAGAUUGCCUAUCAUGAUUACCUAUUUACUCAAGCACUUCUACUCCUAAGUUGGCUACCAGUACCAUCAAGUUGCCACAUAUCACAUAUAAAGUUGCCUAUCAUGACUGCCUAUCAACUAAAUGCUUUCCCUAAGUUGGGGGUGAUGACUGUCAAGUUGUAUGACAUUGCUUCUAAAGUUGCAUAACAUCAUCUCUAAGUUGCCUAACAUUAACUAGUGAGUAUCCUAAACAUUGUUCUAACUUGCCUACAAGUACUUUCUAGUACUAUAAGCAACUUAGCUUUAGAGGCAGACAAAUCUUAGAAACAACAAUGGGCCAAUUUUCAUUUUAUAGUAGGUAACUCGUUAGUGACGGCACGACUGAGCGUCGUUGGUCGGCGACUAAUUUACAAUAUAAAGCAACUUGUCAAUCACAAAUAGGCGACUAAAUUCAAAAUCUGCAAUGACCGAUGAUAGGCAACUUAGAGACAAUGGUAGGCAUCUGAGCAUCAACGGGUAGACAACUUAGCCUCCGUGUUGGGCAAAGUUAGGAGAAAGUUAGACAAAUUCACUAGUACACAUAGUGCAAUGAACUGUAUAUCACUAGAGUUGCGUUCGUUAGGAGGAAAGUUGCUUUGAAAGUGUCGUAAAGUUGAUACCCCAGGAAGAUUCGCCACUUUCCUCGGACAACAAAAGUGAUGUGAAGUUGCCAACCCCCAGACAACUUACCACUUGUCGCAGGCAACUAACGGAUGUUAUUUAGACAACUUCGCCUCUAUGCCCCUAGACAACAAAACUGGUGCGAAGUUUGCCACCCCUAACAACUAGUCUCUUUGCUCCAGGCAAUUAGUGGUUGUUGUUUAGGCAACUUUCAUUUUAUACCAGCCAACUAGUGAUUGUUAUUUAGACAACCUCAUCUCUAACCCUGACGACGGACUAGUGACAAUGGGGUGGAAGCUGAGGGGCAAGGAGCUGCUGAAGGUGACAGCGUAAACGUGCCUUGUACCAAACAACUAAUGGUGUUGAUUAUGGUACAAUAGAAAUGGUUUGCUUGUUUGAUGAACCGAACGAGAAGUUAUUUCAGUGUAUCAAAUUAGUGGACAAAAAAAUAUCUAAGAAAGUUAGGUGAUUUAGGCAAGUACUAUUUAUAUGUAAGCAAUAUAUCCUAUUGGAAAUAGCAACUUUUGUGAAAAUUAAAUUAAUUUGUUGCUAAAACAUAUCUCUGGGAAACUCGCGUCAGCAUCUCUAGCAACUAACUAUCACGCGUUGGGUAAGUUUUAAAGAUGGGUGAAAUAAAAUCCAAGCCUCAGGAGCGGAUCUCUGGGCAACUCACGCCAGCAUUUCUAGCAACUAACUAUCAUGAACUGGGCAAGUUUUGACCACUUUUGGCACCCCGCGCAUCCCACAGAUGUUGAUCUCUAGGCAACUAUCAUGAGUUAUGCAAACUUGGGACAAUAUGGCAACCUAUAAUUAUUGGUGAGGUGAGCUUAUAUAGCAUAGUGCACAUACUUCCACAAAAACCAAUCCAAUGUGAAAUCCCACUGACCAAACACAUAUUCGACAUAGAACUACUACUCUCAAAUCUUCCAUAUAUACUAGAUAAUUUAUUGAAAGAAAAUUCCUGAUAUUAUUAGGCAAGUUUAGUGCAAAAAAUUGACUAAAAAAACUUUUUUUUGGCUGGACCUAGAAUGCACAAGAAAUUUAUACAUUGUAUGUAGGACAGAUCAUAAGCCUACAAUAUUGAGAAUGCAGCAACAAAAACUACAGUCAGUACGUAAAAACAUAAUAUAGUCAACACUCUACUGUCUAGUAUAUACAUCCAUCUUAAAAAUGCAAAAUGUUGUAACUACUACAACACCAGUUCAUAUCAAUAACCUAGGAGGCACAUCAUACACAUUGAUUAUCUAUGACGGCACCUAUGAUUUUUAUUCCACGCCCAACUAUAUGCUCUUAAAAGACCAAGAACAAAACCACAACAAUCCAGACUCCUCGAUGUAUGCAACAAUGCAAUCCUAGGCUGCAUCUAGGAUAGUGCAUAUAAGUGUCCAAUCUUGGAUAAAAGAAAAGGUACAGUGUGUCAAUGGUUUAAUCACUGUAUCACCUCAUUGAUUGGUUUUGCACGGAAAAUGAAAAGAGUUGUCUCCCUAUUGACAUAAGCUUGCCUAAGUGUUGGUUGCAACUUGCCCGCUUGCAGUGAAAAAAGCAAAUUCGCUCUCCCCUUCCUCUUACUAUCCGAACGAUAGUGGCAAUUCAUAUCAAUAGUUAGGCAAGUUUUUGUACAACAUAAAAAGUACAGGCUUUGCGGGAAAGCAUCUGGCAACUACUCAUACCGCAAACUCUAGCAAACUCGCAUCAAAUCUCCAUGCAACUCGCGCUCAUGCCUGCGGCAACUCAAUUGGCAAAUCCAAAACUGAUUCAGAAGUCAGAACGCAUCACCCUGUGGACGAAGCGCUAGAGGGGAAUCUAUAGUGAUGUACUGCGCGUCUGUGCCGCAUCCACCUCGCCGCAAUUCUCGCCGUUGUCCACAAACCUGCGGGGAACCAACAUCAACCUCCCCAAUACGCCGCCAUAUCCGACGAUUCGAGUGGAAGAAGUCGCAUGCAUGCGUGCAGAAUUGGGCUCGAGAUGCUUACUGGUGAUUUGCUUAACUGCUGACGAAGGCGCCACAGGCGAGAUGGUCACGUUGUUGCACGGACGCACGGGUCCCUCUCCCUCCUCCAGCCCUCGCGCCCGCACGAACACGUCGCACAGGGGAAGCAGUGCCGCCCAGACCCCCUCCCUCCUACCUCCGCCUGGUGGUCACCGCGCGUGAAUGGCGCUCUGGCCCCUCUCUCUCCAUAGAGUGGUAUUUCUUCCCCUUCUCCGCCAUGGAAUCGAGGAACGAGGCGGUGGAUUUGGGAGAAGAAGCGGCGCGUGGCCAGGAGGAGGAGCGGGGCGGCGGCCGCGG